rnacentral:lncRNA from 1 species
CAAACUUGCAAUCCACAAUUCUACAAGCCAAACCACAAGCACAACACGUCUCAUGAGUAUAAUUAGAAAAAUAUAGAGUCUCUUUUCUUCAUUGUAGUAGGUAACACUUGGAUAUUUAAAUUAUGCCACGCACUACAUGAGAAAACAACCAUCAAACAGAAUAUAAAUUUAAACACAAGAUCAGAAAAAUCAAACCUUAAAGAUAACAAGAACCUCAACUUUGAAAGUUGAGAUUUCAAAUAUACAAAAAAGUCCUUCCACCAACUAAACAUACUAAACUUCUACUAUUACACAACCACUCUGGUUUUCUGAUAGACCACAGUCCAUAAAUCAAGAACUCAGACUUCUCUUCACUAAACCUCCUCAAGUCCAAGCCUUUUCAACUGAAGUGAACAAAAUCAAUGGUAAAAAGCAAAGCAUCACGCAACAGAAGUAAAAUGAGAAAACACACAAGUCCAAAUACAAAGAACUCAAAAAAAAAUAAUCAAAUCACAGUCCAUAAGACGACAAAAUCAGUAAACUAGAACUACUAGAUCUCCUAACCAGGAACCAAAAAAACCGAUCUUUUUUGCAUUCCAAGAUUCAACUUACUGAAAAUCUAAAACCCCAAAACAGCAUUUUCAGCUUCAGAACUCUAAUGCCCAUAAGAUAUAACACUACAGUUUAUUGCAAACCCAGAGAGAAAAAUGCAGAUGCUAGUGAAUAACAUGUACUCACUUAAAUCACCAUAAAAUGAUUAUAAGCCCAUUGAAUCCACAAGAGAUCUGACAGAAUCUUGGAAAAAUGAAACUGACCCCAGAAAGAGAAACAACUCCCACAAACACAAACUAAGAUCUUGUAACCUUAAAAUGGUGAUUUACUGAAACUGACCCCAGAAAGAGAAAACAACUCCCACAAACACAAACUAAGAUCUUGUAACCUUAAAAUGGCGAUUUACAGAAAAUGCUGUUGUUGUAAUUGGUGAUUAUUUUUUUAUUUUUCUUAGGGGGGCGCGUUGUGGGGGCGGGGGGGGGUCUUUGUUUUGUGAAUUGGAAGUGAAAAGGUCUGAACUGUGAAGAGGGGCUAACUCUCUCUCUCUCUCUCUAUCUCUCUACUUUGUUUUUUCAAAUCAAAAAUUGCAGUGGGGGAGGUUUUUGCGGCUUUGGGAGAGGUUCUGGGGGUGUUUUUACAAUUUUUUAAAGUUGAUGUGCCAGCGAUAUUCAAAUAUAUUCCAGGUCACUGUGUGAUAAGAGAGAGAGAGAGAGAAUUCUGUAUGUAUGGAGUGUGGACUCGGAGAUGAUACUUUUAUUACUGUUUAGAGAGAGAAAUAUAUGGUUG